rnacentral:rRNA from 1 species
CUUUCCUUGACGACGACUGGCGCACGGGUGAGUAACGCGUAUCCAACCUUCCCAUGACCACGGGAUAACCCGUUGAAAGACGGCCUAAUACCGUAUGACGUCGUUUGCCGACAUCGAAAGACGACCAAAGGUUUGCGGUGAUGGAUGGGGAUGCGUCUGAUUAGCUUGUUGGCGGGGUAACGGCCCACCAAGGCUACGAUCAGUAGGGGUUCUGAGAGGAAGGUCCCCCACAUUGGAACUGAGACACGGUCCAAACUCCUACGGGAGGCAGCAGAG